CACUGAAAAAUAUCACAACCUACACAAAACAUUCUCAAUUAUUCACUCUGGCAAAAAUAGUGGGGUAAAAAAAAAGUUUGAAGCUUGAAAUUUAGUUAUAAAGAAGAGAAUAUAUUCUUACACACCAAGAAGGAAUUGAAUCAGCAUGAUUUGGGUACAAUGAAGUGUUGUCAAAAGCACAAGGAACCCUUAAGGUAAUAAACUUUCUCAUUCUAGGUGCUUACCAAAGUAAAGUAAGGCACUAGUUUAAGUAUCUUACACCACAAAAAUUAAUCAAGGCAUAAAACACUACAUAUCACCAUUAUAGUAAG
rnacentral:misc_RNA from 1 species